AUGGGGGAGAAGAUUGGGAUGACCAAGCUUUGGGCGCUUUCUCUUGUGGUUUUGGUCCUCGCGGCGGCGCCGGGCGUACCGGCGGUGCCUAUCACCCUCAUCACAUCCGCCGUCGACAAGGGAGCCGUGUGCAUGGAUGGUACGCCGCCGGCUUACCACAUGGAUCCGGGCUCCGGCGCAGGAAAGAAUAGCUGGAUCGUCAACCUAGAGGGAGGCGGAUGGUGCGAGAGCGUGACGGCGUGCAUGUACCGCAAGGGGAGCCGCCUCGGGUCUUCGAAUCUCAUGGAGAGGCAGCUGGAGUUCCAUGGCAUCCUGAGCUCCAGCCCCGCCGAGAACCCUGAUUUCUACAGCUGGAACCGGGUGAUGAUCCGCUACUGCGACGGCGCGUCCUUCGCCGGCGAAGGCUACGACGCGGGCUCGAGGGUCUACUUCCGGGGCCAGCGCAUAUUUAACGCCGCCAUCCAGCACCUCCUCUCCAUUGGGAUGAACUCGGCGGACCAGGUGCUGCUGGCGGGCGGCUCCGCCGGGGGCCUGUCGGCGAUACUGCACUGCGACCAGUUCGGCGCCUUCUUCGCCGGCCGGAGCACCACCGUCAAGUGCCUCGCCGACGCAGGGCUCUUCCUCGACGCCGUCGACGUCGCCGGUGGCCAUACCUUGAAAUCCUACUUCGGAGGCGUCGUGGCCACGCAUGGGGCGGCGCAGACCCUGCCGAGGAGUUGCACCGGCCAUCUCGACGCCACCUCGUGCUUCUUCCCGCAGAACAUAAUCGGCAGCAUAAAAACCCCGAUCUUCCUGCUGAAUGCAGCCUACGAUACAUGGCAGAUCCAUGAAAGCCUGGCCCCGGACGUAGCCGACCACGGCGGCGCCUGGCGAGCCUGCAAGUCCAAUCGUCUAGCCUGCAACGCAUCCCAGAUGAAAGUCUUGCAAGCUUUCAGGGAACAGAUGGUGGGAAUUGUGCAAGGCGCCUUCUCCCGCUCCAAGGGCAAUGGGUUCUUCAUAAACUCGUGCUUCACGCACGGCCAGUCCAAGGUCCCGGCUACUUGGAAUGCAUAUGGCUCUCCUACGAUUCACAAUAAGAGUAUCGCGAAAUCUGUGAGCGACUGGUACUUUGGCCGCGCUGAAGUGAGGGCCAUCGAUUGCCCCUACCCCUGCGACCACACAUGCCACAAUGACAUAUGA
rnacentral:rRNA from 1 species